rnacentral:lncRNA from 1 species
UUAGUUAUGCAAAGGGAAUGUAUUAGUACCCUAAACAUUUGUGGUACUACAUGGGAACGUCUUUGAAAUUAUGUAUAUUUUGGUUUGAGAAGGGUGUUGUUUGUAAAAGAUUAGAGAGAUGGAGAAAGAAGUAUAUUUUUCUUAUUUUUUAUGUUUAUCAAGACUUUUGAAAUCUCAUGCCUGCGUACCAACAAAGUGCAAUGAAGGAUAAAAACCUCGUAGUGCAUGGUAAAAAUAACAAAUGCAGUUUUCUUUGAUUCAUUUAUA